GCCAUUUCCAUUAUUCAAUAAUCACAUAUCAGAUAUUACCAUACAGGCUUUUGAAACAGAUUUAACAAGAAUGAGUCUUUUUUUGUUUGGGGUAUUACUUUGACAGGAACACAUGAUGUCCAAAGGAUUUUAGGAUAACAAUAAAUUUUAUAAUUAAAUUAUAAAAUUCCAGAAGAUACAGAAAGCAGACCUCACCAUUUUUGAGCUCAGGAAAACUUUAGAGAAAAACCAGUACUGGUGGUUGUGACAUUCAUAGGGCCAAAGUCAUCAAAAUCAGAAUCUGAUUCCCUAUCAUUGUAGUCAUACCAUCCACCAGGAAAAUCCUCAUCUUGCCCACCAUUCGUCAAAGGUACAUGAAGCUCAGAUAUGGGAACUGGUAGAGGCUCCUUGCCGAAGUACUCAUCAUGAAGCAGUUCCAUUGCUGUAGCUCUGUUAGCUGGGUCAUAACAAACCAGCUUCUUGAUUAGAGAGAUUUCAUCUAGGGAACGAUUGGGGAGACAGGCUUCUAAACUAAUGGGCUUUUCAAUCUUAGCAAAAGAAAUUGUUCCAUAAUCAGGAAGUUUUAAACAGCCUGGCCACACUUCCUCCGUUAAAUUGCCCAAAACAUUAAUAAUUCUGCCGAGUUGAUCUAUAUCGGAUGUCCCUGGGAAAAGGGGCUCAAGGGUUAAAAGCUCAGCAAAAAUGCAGCCCAAUGACCACAGGUCAACCUCCAGUCCAUAGUCUGUGGACCCAUAGAGCAGUUCAGGAGCCCUGAACCAGCGAGUUCCAACACAUGAAGUGAGUAAGCCAUGCCUAUCACCCCCACCUUCCUCAACCUCAUAAUAAUAAGAACCCUUCAAAAUAUCAUCUCCUAUGUCGCUUGCUGUGCCUGUUGCAAGACAAGAUGUAUCCGCAUCCUGAAUACUUGUUUCCUCCAAGUAAUCAUGAGCCUUGAAUUCACUGAUCUCUCUAAAUGAUUCAUCUCUCCUUAUGACACCUUGAUCCUGGUUUCCCGGUGCUUCUUGGGAAGAGUUAUCCAUCCGAGGAACAGUCACAGUUGGUUGAACAACUUGUUCCUGGUCUACAGGGUUCUGUCCAUAUGGCUGAGGGUUCUCAUCAGUAGCAACAAACUCAGGCUCCAUGAGCAUCCUUGCCUGGGAAUAAGAAUCAAACUAAGCAUUCCAUUGCUCCAAUUAUACAAAGACAACACUUUGAAUCAGCUGUAUACCAAUACUCAGAAUCACAAUCUCAUUUAUACAUGAAGAAAUAUGAAUACAGAGAUCAAAAUCAUUCUAGUUGUGAAGAAUGCUUACUCAAAUCUGUAUUCAGCAACUCACAUAAUUGCUGACAUUUAAAUAGAAACACAUUCUUCUCUUUAACUUGACAAAAUGAAGCACAAUUGUACUCUUACCAUUACCAAUACCCAUCAACCAAUGCAUUGAGUUUCUUUUGAAUAAUAAGCUACCAGUCAUCGUUGUGAUAUUACAUCAAUUCAAUCAUAAUUUAAUCUGCUACCUGAUCACAAAUAUCCAUUACCCCAAUUGAGAAAAAGCAUACAGCAACACUUUUCAACGUAAGUCGUCAAAUUCUGAUCAGAAACUAAUCUAAACCGUGAAACAAUGAUCAGUUAAGACCCACCAGACACAAAUAGCAUAAUCUCCCUCAUCUAAAUGGAGUAAAGAAGAAAUCCACUUUACCUGGCCAAAAUCAGCCAACUUGAGAAGCCCAUCAUCAGAAAUCAACAAAUUACCAGGUUUCAAAUCCCGAUGCACGAUCAUAUUUCUGUGGCAAGCGUCCACUCCACACAAUAUCUGCACCAUCCACCUCUUCACCUCCCCAACACUAACCCCAGCCCCUCCAUUCUUCUUCCCCUCCUUAAUCACCGCCGCCAAAUCCGUCCUCAAGAACUCCAACACCAAGACGGCGUCCUCAUCCUCCCGCCAAAAGUACUCGUGCAUAAUAAUGAUGUUGGGGCAGUUUUGGAGGAUUUGUAACGCCUCGAUUUCGCGGAAGGCGGACUGGUAGUCGUGGAUUUCUUUAAGGGCAACGAUGAGGUUGUCAGAGAGGCGGCGGGCCUUGUAUACGUCGGAGUAAGCGCCGGAGCCAACUCGCUCUUGGAUUUCGUACUUGGCGAUGAUUUCGGGUCGGGUGUGUAUACUCCAGCUCUUGGAGUGGGAUGGUGGCGGUGGGUGGUCCAUGUUCUGGUGGUGGUGGCGUCGGCGGCGUUCGACUAUGGACUUCUCUUAUUUAUCUGGGUUUUGGAGGUGCGGGGUCGCGAUGACAACUCCGGCUGGGGAUAGAGUUUUCUU
rnacentral:misc_RNA from 1 species